UGGCUCUAGGCAAUAGUUCUAUUUGAAAGGAGGCACUUCAAAUAAGAGGUACGCCACUAGGUAGGUUGGUUGGAAAGACAUCCCGAUAUUUUCAUAUGAAUUAUUGUGCCUGUUCUACUCCUUUGGUUGUCUUUUCCACUACUGAUGCAGGAUUUGGAACCACCAUAUAUAUUGGUUGUUCAUGCUAUAGUUGCUUCUUCAUAAAUGUCAGCUCUAUAAGGAAGUCUUUGAUUUUACAUUGUUUUUCUUCUUCACUUGAUAUAGAGGUGCAAAGAGUUACUUUGUAUCCUCUAUCUUUAAAAGAGAUUUUUCUUGCUAUCCAAUCA
rnacentral:lncRNA from 1 species